rnacentral:rRNA from 1 species
CAGCCUGAUGCAGCCAUGCCGCGUGUGUGAAGAAGGCCUUCGGGUUGUAAAGCACUUUCAGUCAGGAGGAAAGGUUAGUGGUUAAUACCCGUUAGCUGUGACGUUACUGACAGAAGAAGCACCGGCUAACUCCGUGCCAGCAGCCGCGGUAAUACGGAGGGUGCGAGCGUUAAUCGGAAUUACUGGGCGUAAAGCGUACGCAGGCGGUUUGUUAAGCGAGAUGUGAAAGCCCCGGGCUCAACCUGGGAACUGCAUUUCGAACUGGCAAACUAGAGUGUGAUAGAGGGUGGUAGAAUUUCAGGUGUAGCGGUGAAAUGCGUAGAGAUCUGAAGGAAUACCGAUGGCGAAGGCAGCCACCUGGGUCAACACUGACGCUCAUGUACGAAAGCGUGGGGAGCAAACGGGAUUAGAUACCCCGGUAGUCCACGCCGUAAACGAUGUCUACUAGAAGCUCGGAGCCUCGGUUCUGUUUUUCAAAGCUAACGCAUUAAGUAGACCGCCUGGGGAGUACGGCCGCAAGGUUAAAACUCAAAUGAAUUGACGGGGGCCCGCACAAGCGGUGGAGCAUGUGGUUUAAUUCGAUGCAACGCGAAGAACCUUACCUACACUUGACAUACAGAGAACUUACCAGAGAUGGUUUGGUGCCUUCGGGAACUCUGAUACAGGUGCUGCAUGGCUGUCGUCAGCUCGUGUUGUGAGAUGUUGGGUUAAGUCCCGCAACGAGCGCAACCCCUAUCCUUAGUUGCUAGCAGGUAAUGCUGAGAACUCUAAGGAGACUGCCGGUGAUAAACCGGAGGAAGGUGGGGACGACGUCAAGUCAUCAUGGCCCUUACGUGUAGGGCUACACACGUGCUACAAUGGCGCAUACAGAGUGCUGCGAACUCGCGAGAGUAAGCGAAU